rnacentral:rRNA from 1 species
AGGUUAACCGUAUAGGGGAGCCGUAGAGAAAUCGAGUCUUAAUAGGGCGUUUAGUUGCUGGGUAUAGACCCGAAACCAGGCGAUCUAUCCAUGAGCAGGUUGAAGGUUGGGUAACACUAACUGGAGGACCGAACCCACUGUCGUUGAAAAGCCAGGGGAUGACUUGUGGAUAGGGGUGAAAGGCUAAUCAAGCCUGGUGAUAGCUGGUUCUCCCCGAAAGCUAUUUAGGUAGCGCCUCGGACGAAUACCAUAGGGGGUAGAGCACUGUUUCGGCUAGGGGGUCAUCCCGACUUACCAAACCGAUGCAAACUCCGAAUACCUAUGAGUACUAUCCGGGAGACAGACUGCGGGUGCUAACGUCCGUAGUCAAGAGGAAAACAAUCCAGACCGCCAGCUAAGGCCCCAAAAUCAUAGUUAAGUGGGAAACGAUGUGGGAAGGCAUAGACAGCUAGGAGGUUGGCUUAGAAGCAGCCACCCUUUAAAGAAAGCGUAAUAGCUCACUAGUCGAGUCGGCCUGCGCGGAAGAUGUAACGGGGCUAAAACUAUGUGCCGAAGCUGCGGAUUUGACAUUAGUCAAGUGGUAGGGGAGCGUUCUGUAAGCCGAUGAAGGUGUGUUGAGAAGCAUGCUGGAGGUAUCAGAAGUGCGAAUGCUGACGUGAGUAACGACAAAACGGGUGAAAAACCCGUUCGCCGAAAGACCAAGGGUUCCAGUCCAACGUUAAUCGGGGCUGGGUGAGUCGACCCCUAAGG